rnacentral:rRNA from 1 species
AUUGAACGCUGGCGGCAGGCCUAACACAUGCAAGUCGAGCGGAUGAAGGGAGCUUGCUCCUGGAAUCAGCGGCGGACGGGUGAGUAAUGCCUAGGAAACUGCCUGGUAGUGGGGGAUAACGUCCGGAAACGGGCGCUAAUACCGCAUACGACCUGAGGGAGAAAGUGGGGGAUCUUCGGACCUCACGCUAUCAGAUGAGCCUAGGUCGGAUUAGCUAGUUGGUGGGGUAAAGGCCUACCAAGGCGACGAUCCGUAACUGGUCUGAGAGGAGGAUCAGUCACACGGGAACUGAGACACGGUCCAGACUCCUACGGGAGGCAGCAUUGGGGAAUAUUGGACAAUGGGCGAAGGCCUGAUCCAGCCAUGCCGCGUGUGUGAAGAAGUUCUUCGGAUUUUAAAGCACUUUAAGUUGGGAGGAAGGGCAGUAAGUUAAUACCUUGCUGUUUUGACGUUACCAACAGAAUAAGCACCGGCUAACUUCGUG